AUGGAGCCGACCUUGAAAUACCACCCUUUAAUGUUUGAUGUUCUAACGUUGACCCGUAAUCCGGGUUGCGGACAGUGUCUGGUGGGUAGUUUGACUGGGGCGGUCUCCUCCUAAAGAGUAACGGAGGAGCACGAAGGUUGGCUAAUCCUGGUCGGACAUCAGGAGGUUAGUGCAAUGGCAUAAGCCAGCUUGACUGCGAGCGUGACGGCGCGAGCAGGUGCGAAAGCAGGUCAUAGUGAUCCGGUGGUUCUGAAUGGAAGGGCCAUCGCUCAACGGAUAAAAGGUACUCCGGGGAUAACAGGCUGAUACCGCCCAAGAGUUCAUAUCGACGGCGGUGUUUGGCACCUCGAUGUCGGCUCAUCACAUCCUGGGGCUGAAGUAGGUCCCAAGGGUAUGGCUGUUCGCCAUUUAAAGUGGUACGCGAGCUGGGUUUAGAACGUCGUGAGACAGUUCGGUCCCUAUCUGCCGUGGGCGCUGGAGAACUGAGGGGGGC
rnacentral:rRNA from 1 species